UUUACGUAAAAUACGUAAGAAACUGUCCGUUACGCGUAACUACCCACCCCUGGCACUUGCUAUUGAAUUUGACGUAAAUUUACUACCCGAAUUGGAAUGCAAAUUUACUUCACAAGUUAACUAGAAAAAAGUUGUCUUUUGAAAUGGACUUUGUUAGGUGCGGCCCAGCCUUAAGGUUGCUAGAAACUUGUCAUUAAGUUAGCUGAAAAUGUUUCACUGCAGAACUUGCUGAGCAAUUAUAUUUAAAGUGUGGCUAUCAGGGUAGACGAUCGGUGUUUCGACUUCAAAAAACAUCGAUCGAAAAUAUUAAUGUUUACUUACAAAAACAUCUCUAGUCACCCGAAUCCAUCGCAACACUGUACGAUAUGUAUUUAAAUGCCGGCUACACAUUGAUAUAUUCAAUAAAUAUUAGUUAUUAAUAAAUAGUUAACUAAUAACCAACUGAUGAAUAAUUCAUUUAUAAUGUCUCAGUUAACAGAUAUUCAAGUCAAAAUAGAAACUCAAAAUGCCUUGGAAAAUAUUAAUGAUAUGACAGAAAAAAUAAGAGAAAAAUUUAAAUCAAUCAACCAGUUGAUUAAAUCAAAAGGUCUGUUGGAAAAAUUAUCAAUUGAAGCCAAUAAUAAAUUAACUAACCAAGCACAGCAGCUGGGAAAAAUAGUUGGUGCAUUAGAUGAUUUUGAGGAAGCUGAUCAAGAUGAUAAUCAGAAUUUAAAGUCGUCAAUUGAUGCAGUGACACAAAAAUUUAUGGAAAUUAUGGAGGAUUCGUGAUUUACAGUAAAUCAAGUGCUUAUUACAUUUCAAACAU